UCAGGCCUAACACAUGCAAGUCGAACGGUAACAGGUCUUCGGAUGCUGACGAGUGGCGAACGGGUGAGUAAUACAUCGGAACGUGCCCAGUAAUAGGGGAUAGCCCGGCGAAAGCCGGAUUAAUACCGCAUACGCCCCGAGGGGGAAAGUGGGGGACCGCAAGGCCUCACGUUAUUGGAGCGGCCGAUGGCUGGUUAGCUAGUUGGUAGGGUAAAGGCCUACCAAGGCGACGAUCAGUAGCUGGUCUGAGAGGACGAUCAGCCACACUGGGACUGAGACACGGCCCAGACUCCUACGGGAGGCAGCAGUGGGGAAUUUUGGACAAUGGGGGAAACCCUGAUCCAGCAAUGCGGCGUGUGCGAAGAAGGCCUCCGGGUUGUAAAGCACUUGGUCAGGGAAGAAAUCCUUGGGCUAAUACCCUAGGGGGAUGAC
rnacentral:rRNA from 1 species